rnacentral:rRNA from 1 species
UACGUAGGCAGCAAGCGUUGUUCGGAGUUACUGGGCGUAAAGGGUGUGUAGGCGGUCCCUUAAGUUUGCUGUGAAAUCUCCCGGCUUAACCGGGAGGGUGCGGUGAAUACUGAGGGACUAGAGUACGGGAGAGGAAAGUGGAAUUCCUGGUGUAGCGGUGAAAUGCGUAGAUAUCAGGAGGAACACCGGUGGUGUAGACGGCUUUCUGGCCCGUAACUGACGCUGAGGCACGAAAGCGUGGGGAGCAAACAGG